rnacentral:rRNA from 1 species
AGAAUCUUUCACAAUGGGGGAAACCCUGAUGGAGCGACGCCGCGUGGGGGAUGAAUGGCUUCGGCCCGUAAACCCCUGUCAUCUGCGAUCAACCCCCCGACGUGAACAGCGUCGGGGCUGAUAGUAGCAGAAGAGGAAGGGACGGCUAACUCUGUGCCAGCAGCCGCGGUAAUACAGAGGUCCCAAGCGUUGUUCGGAUUCACUGGGCGUAAAGGGUGCGUAGGUGGCAUGGAAAGUUUGAUGUGAAAGCUCCGAGCUUUACUCGGAAAAUGCAUUGAAUACUACCAUGCUAGAGGAUUGGAGGGGGGACUGGAAUUCUCGGUGUAGCGGUGAAAUGCGUAGAUAUCGAGAGGAACACCAGUGGCGAAGGCGAGUCCCUGGACAAUUCCUGACACUGAGGCACGAAAGCUAGGGGAGCAAAC